rnacentral:rRNA from 1 species
CAGCAGCCGCGGUAAUACGGAGGGUGCAAGCGUUAAUCGGAAUUACUGGGCGUAAAGCGUGCGUAGGCGGUUCGUUAAGUCUGUUGUGAAAGCCCCGGGCUCAACCUGGGAAUGGCAAUGGAUACUGGCGAGCUAGAGUGUGUCAGAGGAUGGUGGAAUUCCCGGUGUAGCGGUGAAGUGCGUAGAGAUCGGGAGGAACAUCAGUGGCGAAGGCGGCCAUCUGGGACAACACUGACGCUGAGGCACGAAAGCGUGGGGAGCAAACAGGAUUAGAUACCCCCGUAGUCCCUGUCUCUUAUAC